CGAACGCUGGCGGCGUGCCUAAUACAUGCAAGUAGAACGCACAGUUUAUACCGUAGCUUGCUACACCAUAGACUGUGAGUUGCGAACGGGUGAGUAACGCGUAGGUAACCUGCCUGGUAGCGGGGGAUAACUAUUGGAAACGAUAGCUAAUACCGCAUAAUAUUGAUUAUUGCAUGAUAAUUGAUUGAAAGAUGCUAUUGCAUCACUACCAGAUGGAACUGCGUUGUAUUAGCUAGUAGGUGAGGUAACGGCUCACCUAGGCGACGAUACAUAGCCGACCUGAGAGGGUGAUCGGCCACACUGGGACUGAGACACGGCCCAGACUCCUACGGGAGGCAGCAGUAGUGAAUCUUCGGCAAUGGACGAAAGUCUGACCGAGCAACGCCGCGUGAGUGAAGAAGGUUUUCGGAUCGUAAAGCUCUGUUGUAAGAGAAGAACGGGUGUGAGAGUGGAAAGUUCACACUGUGACGGUAUCUUACCAGAAAGGGACGGCUAACUACGUG
rnacentral:rRNA from 1 species